UGGCUCAGAGGUUAAAGCGUCUACCUCCAAUGCAGGAAACCCAGGUUCGAUCCCUGG
rnacentral:tRNA from 1 species